UAUGCCAUAAAAAAUUUAUUUAAUUUUGGUGUCAAAACAUAGGAGAUCUGGUUGGGAAAUUAUGGCAAUGUGUAAAAAUUAAGAGCCUUCUUUAAGAAGGACUCUUCCUUUCACAUGCCAAAAAUAAAAGAGGCGGCAUUAAUUUUUUGCAUGGGUUCUGGUGGGAAUAGAGGAGUCCUUCUCCACUUAAAACUGAUUCAAGUUGGACAAGGAUCCAAUUUAAAUUGACCCAAUCCCAUUAAGUCAAAAGGCAACUGGUCUAGGUUAGCUCAAACACUUUGAACCAAAUCAAUUUGAAAACUUGGGUUA
rnacentral:lncRNA from 1 species